GGAGAGAUGGCUCAGUGGUUAAGAGCACUGGCUGCUCUUCCAGAGGACCUGGGUUCUAUUCCCAGCACCC
rnacentral:tRNA from 1 species